rnacentral:rRNA from 1 species
GACGAACGCUGGCGGCGUGCUUAACACAUGCAAGUCGAGCGGUAAUGCCCUUCGGGGUACACGAGCGGCGAACGGGUGCGUAACACGUGGGUGACCUGCCCUCCACUCUGGGAUAAGCCUGGGAAACCGGGUCUAAUACCGGAUAUGACCUCCGCCUGCAUGUUCGGUGGUUGAAAGUUCUGGCGGUGGGGGAUGGGCCCGCGGUCUAUCGGCUUGUUGGUGGGGUGCUGGCCUACCAAGGCGACGACGGAUAGCCGGCCUGAGAGGGUGAUCGGCAACACUGGGACGGAGAAACGGCCCAGAGGAGUAAGGGAGGGAGCAGUGGGGAAUCUUGCGGAAUGGGCGGAAGACUGACGCAGCAACGCCGCGGGGGGGAUGACGGCCUUCGAGUUGUAAACCUAUGGCGCGAUCGAAGAAGCUGGUACUUCUGGUACGGGGGAGGGUAGGUCGAGAAGAAGCACCGGCAAACUACGU